CCUCCGUUCAAGUUUCUACAACACUAGCUAAACAUUUCAGUGCUCACACCUGUGCUGAAGACACUUCUCAUUUUAUCUCAAACGUUUGGCCUUUGAUUUGUAUGUCCAACACCUUAGAAUGAAACACUGACCUAUUAAACUCAUAUAAUGUGCUAUGCAUCUCCAAAUCCUUUGUCAGGGUACAGACUACAUUUUAAUUGAGCAAGACUGAAGUAAAAUGUAGCAAAAUGACAAUGAGUUAUCUUAAAUUAGGGGUAAAUGACAUGAGAAAUUAAGAAUAUUAGAAGUGUGGAGUGAUAUGUGUAUCAGUAUGUUAGCUGCAGGAAGGGGGCUGUCCUUGACACGUCCCUUUACUCAGACAGGAUGACAGGUAGGGAAGGGGGUAGCCGAUGAUCUGCUCCAGUAUCUUCAGCACUGAAGCUUCUGCUGCUCUUCUUCAGUUUGAUCUGAGAGCCAGACCAUGAUGCAGUUGGACUGGCUGAGCGGUAGGUUGCCAGCAGCUUCAGACGUGCUGAUGUGCCUUGUUGAUAACGUCCUGGAUGUUAGGAAACCAAGUUAGAUCAGCUGAGAUGGGGAUGCCCAGGAAAGGGAAGCUGUGAACCCUCCUCUAUGCCUACUAAAGUCCAAGAUGACUUUCAUGGUCUUUUAUUUGCCGAUCAGCCUUACACUAUACAGUUUCCGCACUUGUCUACAAAGUUCACCUCAGUGACCUUUCAUAAGUCUUUGUUAUUGGCAAGUUAAUUACUUAUAUCCAAGACAUGGAGAUGUGGGUCCAGUAUGAGCAGGAUUUGGGAAAUGGCAGUUGCCAAGAACUCACAUGAAGUUUCAAGGUUUUUGCCUUUAUUUGGAGGAAAAAAAGUUGUUGUCCUUUGUUUGUUGUGCAGAAUUGCAAACCUAGAAAGAAAUCAACUUGAAAGAAUUUAUAUAAAUGUAUUUGCCCUUCUUUUGACCCUUCUACAUCAUGAAUAUUUGGUGGCUGUUGCUUGGCGACUGUGAGAUCUCUCCAUAGGAUUGACAUGGGCUGGGCCUCUCAAUGACCUUGAUAUGAUUGUUCUUCAGCCAUUCCUUGGUUGCCUUGGCUGUAAGUUCUAGGUCACUAACCUGUUGGAAGACCCAUCCAUGACUGAUUUGAAGGGUCCUGACUUAAGGAGGGUAGGAAGUUCUCACUCAAGAUUUUCCAUUAAUGGCUCCAUCAACGUGGUGACGUAGCUCUGUGCAGAAAAAUAGCCACAAAGCAUAAUGCUUCCACCUCCAUGUUUGACAGUGGGGAAGCUGUUCUUGGGGUCAUAGGUAGCAAUUCUCUUCCUCCAAACCCAAUGGUUGAGUCGAUGCCAAAGAGCUCAGUUUUGAGCCAAACAUUCCAUUAUGCAGAAUAAAAUGAUAAAGCAAACCCUAUUUUUCAGUGUGUGAUUUUCAUUUUUUCAUAAAUCUUAGGACAAUUUAGAUGAUAAAAGUAACAAAUAUAUGAAAACAGUAUAAUACAGUAAAUAUGUAAAUAUUUGAUGUGAUGAACAAUGUUUAUCUGAUUUAGACCCAACAUGAAAUAUUUUUUGACACACACAAAUCAAGUUGUGUUAUCUAAUGCUCGUAAUUUAGACACAAAUGAUAGAAAUGUUAGGUUUAUAUGCCAAAGAGGCCAUGUGAAAAUUUUAGUGCAAAUACGCAUGCGUGCGCGCCGUGCACAUAAAGCCACCCCACCCCCACGUGUCCGCGCGCCGGUCGGGGGGUGUUGGGCGUCAAUAAAGGUAAUCUGGUUGUCGCGCUUUCUGCAUCUCUGCGCGAGCUAAAGAAGUCUCAAAGAUGAAUGCAGCUGUUGUUGUUAUUACUGUGUGACGGAGGAGCGGUGCUGAAAAAUACGGCCUCCAUCGAGAGACUGAACGUAACACGACUGCAGGCUGACUCUGCCACGAGGCUCGACAACUUCUUGCAUCAACUGUGAUCGCUGUGGCCGCCAAAACAUCCAAAUGUAAGGCGGGCUACAAAGAUUUCAGGCCAAAAGAGAACGCCUCACAUGUGAUGAAGUGUCUGUAUUGGUUGGAAAAACCAGCAGCCUUCCAGUGCUUCAGCCGUCCAACCAUCAACCGUUUCAGACAUCCAUCCUCCCACCACUUCAGCCCCACAGCCGUCCACCAGUGUGCCAACUUCGGACAUUUUACUAUCCUGGGGGGGGUCAUGGCCUCUACGCUGGAUCCCAAAAAAGAGACAAAAAAACCCCGACCUCAACCCCCACUCUUAGUCAGACAUGUUUAUUUUUUUAUUUACAAUAAUAAAUAAUAUACUAUGUACAUUUA